GUCCAUCUGGUGAGUCCCAAGUAGGACGAAACGCGAGUCGCGGAU
rnacentral:hammerhead_ribozyme from 1 species